rnacentral:rRNA from 1 species
GAUGAACGCUGGCGGCGUGCCUAAUACAUGCAAGUCGAGCGAACAGACGAGGAGCUUGCUCCUCUGACGUUAGCGGCGGACGGGUGAGUAACACGUGGAUAACCUACCUAUAAGACUGGGAUAACUUCGGGAAACCGGAGCUAAUACCGGAUAACAUGUUGAACCGCAUGGUUCAACAGUGAAAGACGGUCUUGCUGUCACUUAUAGAUGGAUCCGCGCCGCAUUAGCUAGUUGGUAAGGUAACGGCUUACCAAGGCAACGAUGCGUAGCCGACCUGAGAGGGUGAUCGGCCACACUGGACCUGAGACACGGUCCAGACUCCUACGGGAGGCAGCAGUAGGGAAUCUUCCGCAAGGGGCGAAAGCCUGACGGAGCAACGCCGCGUGAGUGAAGAAGGUCUUCGGAUCGUAAAACUCUGUUAUUAGGGAAGAACAAAUGUGUAAGUAACUAUGCACGUCUUGACGGUACCUAAUCAGAAAGCCACGGCUAACUACGU